UACGUAGGGUGCGAGCGUUAAUCGGAAUUACUGGGCGUAAAGCGUGCGCAGGCGGUUUUGUAAGCCAGAUGUGAAAUCCCCGGGCUUAACCUGGGAAUGGCAUUUGGGACUGCAAGGCUUGAGUGCGGCAGAGGAGACGUGGAAUUCCUGGUGUAGCAGUGAAAUGCGUAGAUAUCAGGAGGAACACCGAUGGCGAAGGCAGGUCUCUGGGCUGACA
rnacentral:rRNA from 1 species